rnacentral:rRNA from 1 species
GACGAACGCUGGCGGCGUGCUUAACACAUGCAAGUCGAACGAAGAGGCGAACGGGUGAGUAAUACGUGAGUGACCUGCCCUCCUUUUUGGGAUAAGCCUUGGAAACGGGGUGUAAUACCGAAUAAAGGGGGAGGGGCUCGCGGCCUAUAAGCUGGUUGGUGGGGUGGUGGCCUACCAAGGCGACGACGGGUAGCCGGCCUGAGAGGGCGACCGGCCACAUUGGGACUGAGAUACGGCCCAAACUCCUACGGGAGGCAGCAGUGGGGAAUAUUGCACAAUGGGGGAAACCCUGAUGCAGCAAAGCCGCGUGCGGGAUGACGGCCUUCGGAUUGUAAAGCACUUUAAGUUGGGAGACGUUACCAACAGAAUAAGCACCGGCUAACUUCGUGCCAGCAGCCGCGGUAAUAC